rnacentral:rRNA from 1 species
UACGGGGGGGGUAAGCGUUGUUGGGAAUUACUGGGCGUAAAGGGCUCGUAGGCGGCCAACUAAGUCAUACGUGAAAUCCCUCAGCUUAACUGGGGAACUGCGUGUGAUACUGGAUGGCUUGGAUUUGGGAGAGGGAUGUGGAAUUCCACGUGUAGCGGUGAAAUGCGCAGAUAUCAGGAGGAACACCGGUGGCGAAGGCGGCUUGCUGGGCCUUACCUGACGCUGAGGAGCGAAAGCGUGGGGAGCGAACAGG